AAAUGAAUUGACGGGGGCCCGCACAAGCGGAGGAACAUGUGGUUUAAUUCGAUGAUACGCGAGGAACCUUACCCGGGCUUGAAAUGCGGAGGAAUGGGGGGGAGACCCUUCAGUCAGCAAUGACCUCCGCGCAGGUGCUGCAUGGUUGUCGUCAGCUCGUGCCGUGAGGUGUCGGCUUAAGUGCCAUAACGAGCGCAACCCCUGCCGGCAGUUGCCAUCAUUUAGUUGGGGACUCUGCCGGGACUGCCGCCGCAAGGUGCGAGGAAGGGGGGGAUGACGUCAAAUCAGCACGGCCCUUACGUCCGGGGCGACACACGUGUUACAAUGGGGGGUACAACGGGCCGCUACCCGGCGACGGGAUGCCAAUCUCUAAAAACCCCUCUCAGUUCGGAUCGGAGCCUGCAACUCGGCUCCGUGAAGCUGGAUUCGCUAGUAAUCGCGCAUCAGCCACGGCGCGGUGAAUACGUUCCCGGGCCUUGUACACACCGCCCGU
rnacentral:rRNA from 1 species